rnacentral:rRNA from 1 species
AUUGAACGCUGGCGGCAGGCCUAACACAUGCAAGUAGAACGAGUGGCGGACGGGUGAGUAAUGUCUGGGAAACUGCCUGAUGGAGGGGGAUAACUACUGGAAACGGUAGCUAAUACCGCAUACCAUCGGAGGUGCCCAGAUGGGCUUAGCUAUUAGGUGGGGUAAAGGCUCACCUAGGCGACGAUCCCUAGCUGGUCUGAGAGGAUGACCGGCCAACCUGGAACUGCGAAACGGUCCAGACUCCUACGGGAGGCAGCAUAGGGGAAGAUUGCACAAUGGGCGCAAGCCUAAUGCAGCCAUGCGGCGUGUAUGAAGAAGGCCUUCGGGUUGUAAAGUACUUUCAGCGGGGAGGCGUUACCCGCAGAAGAAGCACCGGCUAACUCCGUGCCAGCAGCCGCGGUAAUAC